UACGGAGGGGGCUAGCGUUGUUCGGAAUUACUGGGCGUAAAGCGCACGUAGGCGGCUUUGUAAGUUAGAGGUGAAAGCCCGGGGCUCAACUCCGGAAUUGCCUUUAAGACUGCAUCGCUUGAAUUGUGGAGAGGUAAGUGGAAUUCCGAGUGUAGAGGUGAAAUUCGUAGAUAUUCGGAAGAACACCAGUGGCGAAGGCGACUCACUGGACAUGUAUUGACGCUGAGGUACGAAAGCGUGGGGAGCAAACAGG
rnacentral:rRNA from 1 species